rnacentral:rRNA from 1 species
UACGUAGGGUGCAAGCGUUAAUCGGAAUUACUGGGCGUAAAGCGUGCGCAGGCGGUUGUGCAAGACAGAUGUGAAAUCCCCGGGCUCAACCUGGGAAUUGCAUUUGUGACUGCACGGCUAGAGUGUGUCAGAGGGGGGUAGAAUUCCACGUGUGAGCAGUGAAAUGCGUAGAGAUGUGGAGGAAUGCCGAUGGCGAAGGCAGCCCCCUGGGAUAACACUGACGCUCAUGCACGAAAGCGUGGGAGCAAACAGGA